rnacentral:rRNA from 1 species
CCUACGGGAGGCAGCAGUGAGGAAUAUUGGUCAAUGGCCGCAGGGCUGAACCAGCCAAGUCGCGUGAGGGAUGACGGUCCUAUGGAUUGUAAACCUCUUUUGUCAGGGAGCAAAGGGCGCCACGUGUGGCGCUUUGCGAGUACCUGAAGAAAAAGCAUCGGCUAACUCCGUGCCAGCAGCCGCGGUAAUACGGAGGAUGCGAGCGUUAUCCGGAUUUAUUGGGGUUAAAGGGUGCGCAGGCGGAAUGUCAAGUCAGCGGUAAAAUUUCGGGGCUCAACCCCGUCGUGCCGUUGAAACUGGCGUUCUUGAGUGAGCGAGAGGUAUGCGGAAUGCGUGGUGGAGCGGUGAAAUGCAUAGAUAUCACGCAGAACUCCGAUUGCGAAGGCAGCAUACCGGCGCUCAACUGACGCUCAUGCACGAAAGCGUGGGUAUCGAACAGGAUUAGAUACCCUUGUAGUC